GGAAAAGAAACCAACAGGGAUCGCCUUAGUAACGGCGAGUGAAGCGGCAAAAGCUCAAAUUUGAAAUCUGGCACCUUCGGUGUCCGAGUUGUAAUUUGAAGAAGGUAACUUUGGAGUUGGCUCUUGUCUAUGUUCCUUGGAACAGGACGUCACAGAGGGUGAGAAUCCCCUGCGAUGAGAUGCCCAAUUCUAUGUAAAGUGCUUUUGAAGAGUCUAGUUGUUUGGGAAUGCAGCUCUAAGUGGGUGGUAAAUUCCAUCUAAAGCUAAAUAUUGGCGAGAGACCGAUAGCGAACAAGUACAGUGAUGGAAAGAUGAAAAGAACUUUGAAAAGAGAGUGAAAAAGUACGUGAAAUUGUUGAAAGGGAAGGGCUUGAGAUCAGACUUGGUAUUUUGCGAUCCUUUCCUUCUUGGUUGGGUUCCUCGCAGCUUACUGGGCCAGCAUCGGUUUGGAUGGUAGGAUAAUGACUAAGGAAUGUGGCUCUACUUCGGUGGAGUGUUAUAGCCUUGGUUGAUACUGCCUGUCUAGACCGAGGACUGCGUCUUUUGACUACGAUGUUGGCAUAAGGAUCUUAAGCCACC
rnacentral:rRNA from 1 species